CCCUUAGAUGUUCUGGGCCGCACGCGUGCUACACUGAGUGGAUCAGCGGAUCAGGUUGCGCGAAAGCGUUUCCUAAUCUUUAAAUCCGCUCGUGAUGGGGAUUGACGGUUGCAAUUUUCUGUCAUGAACGAGGAAUACCUUGUAAGCGCGGGUCAUCAUCCCGCGCUGAAUACGUCCCUGCCCUUUGUACACACCGCCCGUCGCUCCUACCGAUUGAGUGGUCCGGUGAGGCUUUGGGAUCUGAGCGGAAAGAGCGUUUCGCUGUUUCUGCUCGGAAAACUCAGUCGAACCUUAUCAUUUAGAGGAAGGAGAAGUCGUAACA
rnacentral:rRNA from 1 species